UACGGGGGGGGCAAGCGUUGUUCGGAAUUACUGGGCGUAAAGGGCCAGUAGGCGGCCAACUAAGUCGGACGUGAAAUCCCCAGGCUCAACCUGGGAACUGCGUCCGAUACUGGAUGGCUUGAAUCCGGGAGAGGGAUGCAGAAUUCCAGGUGUAGCGGUGAAAUGCGUAGAUAUCUGGAGGAAUACCGGUGGCGAAGGCGGCAUCCUGGACCGGCAUUGACGCUGAGGAGCGAAAGCCAGGGGAGCAAACGGG
rnacentral:rRNA from 1 species